UACGUAGGCAGCAAGCGUUGUUCGGAGUUACUGGGCGUAAAGGGUGCGUAGGCGGCUUUUUAAGUUUGGUGUGAAAUCGCCCGGCUUAACUGGGCGGGGGCCUUCCAGACGGCGUGGCUUGAGCAGCGGAGGGGGACGUGGAAUUCCGGGUGGAGCGGUGAAAUGCGUAGAGAUCCGGAGGAACACCGACGGCGCAGGCAGCGUCCUGGCCGCUUGCUGACACUGAGGCACGAAAGCUGGGGGAGCAAACAGG
rnacentral:rRNA from 1 species